rnacentral:rRNA from 1 species
AAACUAACAAAGGGAUUCCCCUAGUUAGCGGCGGAGCGAAAGCGGGGAAAAAGCUUCAAAUUUGUAAUUCUGGGCGUCUACCGACGUCCGAGUUGUAAUCUCGAGAAACGUUUCUCCGUGUUAGGCCGCAUACAAGUCUCUUGGAUACAGAGCGUCAUAGUGGUGAGAACCCAGUACACGAUGCGGAUGCCUAAUACUUUGUGAUACGUUUUCGAAGAGUCGAGUUGUUUGGGAAUGCAGCUCAAAUUGGGUGGUAAAUUCCAUCUAAAGCUAAAUAUUGGCGAGAGACCGAUAGCGAACAAGUACCGUGAGGGAAAGAUGAAAAGCACUUUGGAAAGAGAGUUAACAGUACGUGAAAUUGUUGGAAGGGGAACACAUGCAGUCAGACUUGCUAUUCGGGGCAACUCGAUUGGCAGGCCCGCAUCAGUUUUCGGGGAUGGAAAAUCGUAGAGAGAAGGUAGCAGCAUUCGGCUGUGCUAUAGCUCUUUACUGGAUUCAUCCUUGGGCUAUUGAGGAACGCAGCGUGCUUUUAGCAUGCAGCUUCGCUUAUCCACGCUUAACAUGCGGUCUGC